rnacentral:rRNA from 1 species
GUUGGAGAAUUGAGAAAGGCUGUCCUUAGUACGAGAGGACCGGGACGGACGAACCUCUGGUAUGUCAGUUGUACCGCCAGGUGCAUGGCUGAUUGGCUACGUUCGGGAGGGAUAACCGCUGAAAGCAUCUAAGCGGGAAGCUUGUUUCGUGAUGAGUUCUCCUGGCCCCCUGUGUGGGGUGUGAGGUUCCCUGUAGAUGACGGGGUUGAUAGGCCGGGUAUGGAAGCGCUGUAAGGUGUGGAGUUGACUGGUACUAAUAGCCCGAAGGCUU